UACAGAGGGUGCAAGCGUUGUCCGGAAUCACUGGGCGUAAAGGGCGCGUAGGCGGCCAUGCGUGUCUUCCGUGAAAUCCCUCGGCUUAACUGAGGACGUGCGGAAGAAACUGCAAGGCUCGAGUCCGGGAGAGGGGGGUGGAAUUCCCAGUGUAGCGGUGAAAUGCGUAGAUAUUGGGAGGAACACCGGUGGCGAAGGCGGCCCCCUGGACCGGUACUGACGCUGAGGCGCGAAAGCGUGGGUAGCAAACGGG
rnacentral:rRNA from 1 species